rnacentral:lncRNA from 1 species
UGCAUUUACAAAAAGUCUUUUGUAUACCUAGGAUUAACUCUAAUCUCGUUGUAGCACACAGCCUCAACUGUUGUGACAACUUCAAGUUAACUCUAACUUGAAAACUCUAAGUACCUAAUACAAUUGCUUCUAGAUAAAUCUGAAAGGUACAAUAUCAAAACACUACUACAAUUGAACUAGAAUAAAAGGACAAAUGCUUGGAACUGGUUCUUCUAUCUGGUCAAGUAGCUUCAGGAUUGCACGCAUGAAUCAGACAUAAAUUACUUGCAAAAUUGCCUUGCUAUUUUGCUCUCAAUUCAUGUUUAACUUCUGCUUAUGUACAUUACCUGUAAAAGAGAACAAUACUGAUAUUUAUGGAAUUGGUAAAAAGAGAUUGACUAGAAUACAGAUGCUACUCUUCCUUGGUAGAAGAGUUCUAGUUGGUCUUAUCCUCUAAUUCUAUCCAUUACUUAAGCCGUAUUUCUCUUUCUGUAAGUAGUCUUUCUCCUUAUCCAAUAUGCAACAUUUUCAAUCAGGAUCGGGAGAUAUCAUUUUUGGUAAGUUAGAUUUAUCUCCUUCACGUACAUCUUACAUGUUUGAGUUGAUCAUAACAGUGCUUCACAAGAUAGACCUGGUACAUGUCUGAGUUCCUUUGUCAGUCUUCAAAACUUCACUUUUACUUGGGCCAACAGAUAUGAUAUAAAUGCAUGAAUAUGACUGAGUACAAAAUAUCAAUGAAAAGCUAGUGAGUUGACAGAAAGAAAUGACCACUAUGGGUCCUAACAAUAUCAACAAAAGCCUAAACAUGAUAUCUAGCAUGAUUGACAGCUCAGUUACUUAAUCACAUGGUGAAAACAUAGAUAUCAACAAAAUAGGGCCACUAAAUAGUGCCCUAAUUAUAACAGAGUCAUAAUUCAAAGGGUGCACGCCCACACGCCCGCCAACUAGUAUGUGAGUCAGCUCAACAAAAAUCAGAUAGCACAUUAUUUGGGGUUUCAUACCCUCAGCACUAAGUUGAGAGAAGUUACUUACCUCGAACAAGCGAAUUCUAAUACCGAGAAAACCAGACGAUGCUCCAAGAAUGACAUCACAUACAUAGCGACCUCCGAACGGCUCAAAACUAGCCAAAAAUAAACUCAAAUAAAUCCCAAGGAAACAAUUCGAAAUGAUAAAGAUCGAAUCUUAACUCUAAUCCUAAUUGCGGACAAAAAUCAUAGUCAGACUCGCACCUCGGAACCCGGAAAAACUCACAAAAUCUGAUAAUCCAUUCAACUAGUUUCACAAAAUUCGACUCCAUAUCAGUGUUCAAAACUCUAAAAUUCAUAUUAUGAAACCUUAGGCCAAGACCCCCAAUUUCUCCUUAAUAUUUAUCAAACAAUUUCCAAAAAUGAAGAUAGAUUCAUGAAAUGUGAUAAAAAAUGAGUAGAGAACACUUACCCCAAUCGUCGUAGUGACAUUUGCUUCUGAAAUCACCUCCUACAGAGAUCCCAAAUCAAUUUUUUGAUAUAAACUCAAAACCCUCGAUUUUAAUCGCUUAUUCUGCCCAGGCAUCCUCUUUUGCGAAAUCGGGAACACCAUCGCGUUCGCGAUAAAGAAAAAAUUCAGCCACCAAAAAAUGCUUUACGCGUUCAUGGAACAAGCCUCGCAAAUGCGAUGAAGAAAGGUCCUCCAGCCCAAGACCCAACUUAACUCUUCGCGGACGCAAUCCGCCAUACACGAACAUGAAGAAGUCUCGCCCCAACAAUAUGCGAUGGCGGACCUAUAUUCGCGAAUGCGAAGAAGAAAUAUUGUUGCAAUCAAAAUACACUACGCAUUCGCGACAAUUGCCACGCGAACGCGAUAAGGACUGAGACACCAAAAAACCAGUAGAACACAGCAGUGUAAAAUGAAGGAAAAAUCCCGACAUCAAUCAAAAACAUGCUCGAGCCCCUCGAUACCGCAUCACAACAUACCGACAAGUCCCAUAACAUCACACGGACCUACUCGAGUCCUUAAAACACACAUAACAAUAUAGAAACGAUGAAUCACACCUCAAUUCAAAAUCUAUGAAGUUUGAAACUUAAAACUUCAGCAACCGAUGUUGAAACCUAUCAAAUCACGUCCGAAUGACCUCAAAUUUUGUACACAAGUCAAAUUUGACAUUACGGACCUGCUCCAACUUCUAGAAUUGAAAUCCGACCCUGAUAUCAAAAAUUUCACUCCUGGUCAAAUUUUUCAAAAUUCCAACUUCUGCCAUUUCAAGCCAAAUUCUGCUAUGGACCUCCAAAUUACGAUCCGGAUGAAAAUACCUUUGAACCAUACAAAUCAUCCAACAUAUCUUCCAACCUAGGAAUAGGUUAGUGAUACUUUGUCGUGAUUUUGUUGAUAGCUCUACAGCCAACAAACAUAUGCCAAUACCCGUCUUUCUUUGGUACUAAAAUUCCUGGUGCAACACAAGGGCUCAUGCUUUCCCUCACGAACCCCUUAUUUAGCAACUCCUCUACUUGCCUUUGAAGUUUCUUAGCCUCAUUUGGUUUCUUUUAUAAGCCGGUUUCUUCAGAAUCUGAGAUCCUAGUACAAAGUCAAUUUGGUGUUCAAUCCCCUUAAGUGGUGGCAAUCCUUCAAGUAGCUCCCCGGGGAAGACAUUAUUAUAUUCCUAAAAUAAUGAGAUAAAAUUACUACACAAACUGUUAGAGAGUUCGUUAAUAUUCAAAUAAGAUCAUAUAUACAUACAUAGUAAAAGUGGUAUUCCUUCACUAAAGGUCUUUUCACAAUCUUUGGCUUUUACAAAAAGGUUCUCUUCCUUUUGCCUAUUUUCUCAUCAUCACUCGAUUUCUUUUCAUUCUUCCUCUUUCGGCUACCCUAUGAUUUUUUCACUUCCUCACUUUCCUUAAUCUCGACAAGUACAAUUUGCCUCUACACUCAUUCUCUCUUUUUUCUUCUCUCGCCAUCUCCCCACCCAAUUGUUUAACUCUUUUAUGAUCUCCAUACACUUGAAGUGGAGUCAAGGGCUUCAAGAGAUACUUUUUACCCUUUAGCCAAGAGUAUAGCUAUUAAUCCUCCCUUCAUGUAGUGCAUUACUAUCAUAUUGUAAUGGCCUCCCAAUAAAUAAAUGACAAGCCUGCAUAGGUACAACAUCACAUAAAAUUUCAUCCAUGUACUUCCCAAUUUUGAAGCAAAGAAAAAUCUACUUAUUCACUUUUAGUUCCCUACUAUCACUCAACCAUUGAAGUUUGUAGAGACAAGGAGGUUUCAUGGUCCUAAGACCCAACUUCUCAACAAGAGACACACAAGCCACAUUAGUGCAACUUUCACUAUCAACAAUCACGGAAUAAAUUCUUCCACCAAUAUUAUAUCUAGCGUGGAAUAAAAUUUCCCUUUGAUCAGAAUCACCCUCUUUCAUUUAACUCCCAUUAACCUCCUAACAACUCUCCAUCAGAUUCUUCCACACCAUCAUCAGAUUCAUAUUCUCCAUUCUCCUUAAUCAAAAUAGCUCGUCGAUUAGGACAUUCAUAUUGCAUAUGUCCUCUUCCCUAAUAUUUAUGACAAAUAAUAGAACUCGAAUUUAUGUAAGGUUUAGGUUGAGUAGAAUUCCCUCCCUCUUUAACAUCUGCCUUAUUUUUACUCUUUUCAGCUAAUUGAGAUGGCUUGACUUCAGUUUUUACCUCUUUACUCUUACUCGAAGAAGAUCUCCAAGUAGUUUUAUCUCUGUUCCUACUAGCAGAGGACAACUUAUUUUGAUCUCUAAGUAUCCUCUCUACCUUAGUAGCCAAGUGUAACAUCUUUACUACAGAAUGACAAUCCCUAGAAAGUUCAAUCUGAUUAGCAAUGUCUUUAUUCAACCUAGUGUGAAAUCUCUGGGUUGGCCUUCAUCCUAAGAACCUCCAUGGUAUUGUAAUGCUCUUCAAUACUUUUGUGUCAUUGUACCAAGUUGUGCAACUUCUUAAUAAUCUCUCUAUAGUAAUAUGAAGGUACAAAUCUAUCCCUCAUUGCUCUCUUCAAGUCUUCCCAAGUCUCAAUUUGUAUGUCACCAAGCCUUCUAUGAUCAAGCUCAGUUCUUUCAAGCCAAGCAGAGGCAUAUCUCUCGAAUUCAGUCACCGCCAUUUGAACUCUUUUCUCCUCAGAGUAGUUAUAAAAUAUGUAUAUCCUUUGCAACUUUGCUUCCACUCCAAGUAUGCAUCCAUGUUGGUUGUUCCCUCAAAGGAAUGAAUUUUCAUCUUAAUGCUACCCAAGUUUCUAUCUACUCAUCAUCUCGGUUGUGUUGAUUCCACUGUCGCACCCCAAAUCCUCUAUAAUGCCUAGAUACUCUCCUACACCCUCUCAAGCAUUGAUGACUAUAAGUAAUAUGGUUAUCAAAAUCUUUAUAUUCAAAUUCUUCAUUUUGACACCUUAAUGUACUGCAGGUGCCCGAGCUACUGGUAGUGUCUGAUUAGCCCUCUAUAAGUUUUCUACCUGCAAAGUCAGAUGUUGUAUUUGUUUCAUCAUAGUUUUCAACGUCUCAUUAGUUCCUUCAACCCAAGUUGCUUUAGUUCCACUAGUACUAUCCUCGAUGGUAGACAUUCUCUCACAAUUAUGGUUUCUUGCGUUUCACUCAUAUAUAUUCUCUGCCUCACUCCUUAGAAAUCCUCAAAGUUCAAGCCCAACUCACAAAUCACCUAUCCAAGAAUAAGUCUUCUUGAAAGUAAUUUAAGAUUGGAGUUUAUGUAAUCAAGAACGGACUUUUAUAAACUAAGGACGGGAUCUAAGAAAUUUCUAUGAAAAUUACAAGAAUAGCACAAACGAAUUGGCACGAAAGAAAUAGUUAAUUUCAAAUAUUAAGAAUGAUUUAAUGCGAAUAGAACUAGUUCGUUCUUAACAAGAAUCCCCAAUGGAUAUUUCUUACCCAAAAGUAGUCUUUCCCAAACAAUCAACAAGAACAUUUCAACAAUAAUUUUUUAUUUUAUUAUUUUUUUUCUUUUGAAACUCAAGAACGAUUUUUUUUUUGUUGUUGUUUCUUUUUUUUGUAAGAACCUCGACUAGGGUUUAGUUGAAAAUAAGAACAAUGCUUUUUCUAACUAAUUUGGAUCUUGAUCUGGGGAACGUGGGUUUGUUAGAAUAAUACCCAAGCCUUUGCUCUUAUACCAACUGAUAAGAUCGGAGAUAAAUAAAAUAUCGGAAUAUGAAAAUAAUAAUAAUUGAAGCAAAACUAAUGAUAGGUUUGAUUAAGAUAAUCAAAAGUAGUUUGAAUAAUAAAAAUUUAGAAGAAUCUAGAAUCCUAAGUGAAUGUCUCAAGUAACAAUCAAAAAACUAUCUGAUCGUCUCCCAAGAACGACAAAUUCGAAUCCUAGAUAUAAAGAAAAGAGAAGAAGAUUAGAUUACCCUCAAGAACCCAAGUCUUGAAAACAGGUAAUCCAAUGUCGAACUCGAACCAAGAGGUUCCAAUUCUCUCUCAAAUAGGGGUGGACAUUCGGUACUUCGAUACGGUAUUUAAGAACUUCAGUUUGGUAUUUUGGUAUUCGGUUUAUCACGUGUAUACCAAAUACAGUAUCAAAGUAGUUCGGUAAGGUUCGGUAUUUCUUGUUUUAUUUCGAUAUGGUUUCGGUUUGAUACAUUAACGGAAUAGAUGAUAUAAAUAGAGUGGGCAGUGGACUGGACACGAUGCGCUAAGCUAGCUGCUAGACAAUGCAUGAAGAAGCAUCAUUUAAAUAAGCUAGCAGCCUCCUAAAGUUUAUGAAGCAACUUUAGCAGAAUUCAAGUAUACCAAGCAACUAGCCAACUAAUGAGGCUAACAGGAACAAGCAUCAACAGAAUUAAAGUAUAUUAAACAAUAAACACAUAAAUCAACAGUAAAAAGUACAUUAAAGAAUAAACAUAAUUGUCCAUUCAAGCAAUUCUUUAAACGAGCAGCAGAAUGCAACACAGCAACAACUUCUUCCAUCUAACAAGCAUCAGCAGAAAUCUGAAUUAAACAAUAAUCUGAUGCAACAAAAACAGAGAUGGCAUGCACCUGCUACUGAGGUCGUGAAGUCGUCGUCGCCCUCUGCUAUUGUAGUCGUGAAUCAGCAGCAGCCAAGCAAUGUUGCAACUUUUUAAAAAUAGAAAAGGGAAAGGGGGUAAGGAGAAGAAGCUACUGCCCGUAAGUCUGUUGUC